AAUUAGAUUGUGCAAAUGGUGAUAAUGAUACAUGCAUGGUAGAUGAAAAUGGGAGCUUAGUUAGCAACAUACGUAGUAACAUAAGUAGUAACAUAAGUAGUAGCAUAAAUAGUAGCAUAAAUAGUAGCACUAUAGAAUGUGUGAAUGAUAACGGAAAUAUAAAAGAAAACAGUAUUUUACCAAUUAAAUUUUUAUCUAAUAGUUAUAAUUCGUUACAUUAUAAAACUAAGUAUAUGUUAUACGUAGAUAAUAAACAAAAUAGACAAAUCGAAUUUGACUUAAAACCAAUUCAACCGUUAGUAUUUUUUAACACUUCUUGUAUAUAUAUAGAUAAUUUAUUAUUAGAAAAAAGUUAUUGUUUUGUUUUUUUAUAUAAUAAACUUUGAUUUUGUUGACAUGAAUUUUGAAUUUGAUAAAAACUCGUAUAGCUCCUUCAAUAGUCAAAAAGAUACAAUUAAAAUAGUGCCAUCGAAGGGAACUGUAAAGUCUUGUUACAAAUGGGAAAAACGUAAUCAGUAUGGAACGCUUGACACUAAUGCUAAGAAUUUACAAAGUGAGUCAUUCUCAACAAAAGAUGAUGAAAAAAACAGAAAAACCGAACUAACAGGUUUCCGUUCUGCAGACUCGGACUACAUAAUUGGUGUUUUAAGUAGUGGAUUUAGUAGUAGCCAUACUGUUAAUAGUGAUAAAACUGUUAAUAGUAGUAAAACUGCUGUUAGUAGUAAAACUACUGUUAGUAGUAAAACUAUUGUUAGUAGUAAAACUAUUGUUAGUAGUAAAACUAUUGUUAGUAGUAAAACUGUUGUUAGUAGUAAAACUGCUGUUAGUAGUAAACAUAUAAACAAGUUUAAGAUUAAUUAUUUAUCGGAUAGUAGUUCAAAAAGUAGUAAGCGAUAUAGUGAUUAUAGUACUGUUGGUAGUGGUAGCUGUUUCAAUUCAUUCCAGAAUAAGUCGCCAAACAUAUCUGUUGUCUCAUCUAACUCCUAUUAUUCUUCAUCUUCUUCUUUUUCGGAUGCAAAAUGGAAAAAGAAUGAAAAAGAGAAUGAGUCAGGGUUUGACGAUACAUCGGAAGUUUUAUUACCAGCUCGUAAUAAUACCCUAAUAGAUAAAUGGGAAUACAUAAAUACGUCGUGCGAAUCUGAUAGCACAUCAUCCUUGUGGUCGUUAGAAAAUACCAACGAACGUGAUGAAUAUGACAUGAAUUGUACAUAUAAAUUUUAUCUUAUUAAUUAUUAUUUACAACAUUUAGGAAUAGCGAAUGAUGAAAAGCUUAAAAAAGAAAUGAAAAAAAUGCUUGGAAAAGGGCUAGGUAAAAAAAUCAAAAUAUUAUUUAAGCCUCACUUAGAACAAUUUUAUAAUUUUAAUUUGUUGUGCAAUAUUGAUAAAAAAGAAGAGCCAUUAAAAUUAAAUUUAAAAACUAAAGUUGGAAAGCUUAAUAUACAAUGUUACAUUAAAAACUCUGAUAAUGAAAAAACUUUUUUGGAAUUAAAAAAUGUAAAACAUAGUAAACAUAGCAAACAUAGCAAACAUAGCAAAAAUAAGACACAAAAGAAAAAGAACGGAAAAGAUGAUUUGAUACAUGUACAUUGUACACUAGAUUUUAAAGAAACGUUAGUAGGGAAUAAAAAAAUAUCACAUAUUGUAAUAGACAAUUUCUGUGAUUUUGAUUUAUUUUAUAAAUAUUAUUUACAUAAAAAGAUAAAGAUAUAACCAUUCAAUGUAAUAAUGAUUAUAUUAUUAAAAAUUCCACUUUUUCUAUUGCUGUUCAAUAUAUACCAUCAAAAAAUAGAACUUAUGUAAAUUACUUAUUACUUAAUAUAAGAGAUUAUUAUUUAAUACAUUUUAAAAUUACUGCAAUUGCUAUUAAUUUUAUGCUUAAAUUUUCAUUUUACAACUAUAAUUUUGGUAAUGUUAUAUUAUUUCCUAUAAUAGAUAAAAAAACUAUUAAGGUAAAAAAUAUGUGUGCUUAUUCAAAGCAAUA
rnacentral:lncRNA from 1 species